rnacentral:antisense_RNA from 1 species
GACGUCAUCUGCAGGCCCUGGAGACGCGACUGCAGUUACCGAGUUUCUAAGGCCUCGUCCCCUGACGGGAAGGCGGCGCUGGGGGGCGGCUGGGUUUACCCUUCGAGAGUCCGUGUGAGAACCGGGACACCUGUCCUGUUGAAAAGGGGGACGCAAAAGCUGAAAAUGCCCGGAAGGAUAUGGCUUCCUUGAACUGCGGGACGUGUAGCUGCAGCUGUGGGGUGGACCAUGGAAACAGGUAGGAUCUCUCUGCUGAGUGGCAGAUGGCCUUGGGCAGCGAUGAGUAUUACAUUGUUUUCCCUGCGUGUCUUUCCCGUCAACUCCAUCAGAAGUCCCAGGGAGGACUCUGACAGGCCUGGCCUGGGAGUUAGAAAACACCAGGAAAAGGGUUGUUUCCACCUGGAAGAGAAAUGCUAGAGCAACACGCCAUCUUCCUCAACAUUAUCAUCUGUCUCUGGAUGACAAUGAAAUUCACAGGACACCGAUUGUCUUUUUAUCCCAUUGGACAUCGUGAUAGUCUACAAUACUGAUAACACCACGAUGAUAGGAUCUGAAGACCUGGAAGUACCAG